rnacentral:misc_RNA from 1 species
GCUCGUUCAUCGAGCCUCUACCUUUCGGUUCUCUUGGAACAAGACGGAAGAGAGUCACUCUUACCGUCGUGCAUACCUGAAGCGGGUCUGCCGCCUUCGUUUCUCUUUCUUCAGCGAAUGACUUUGACUUGCGCUCGCGCGCCGCAUCGGCCUUCGGCCUGGCGCUCCGCGAGGGCGCGGCACAAGCCGCGACGGCCGGUCGGCCUUGCGAGACUUGCGUCUCGGUGGCGAGAGCCGAUUUAAGGCGCAGUGUCUAAGGGCUUGUAGCUCAGUUGGUUAGAGCGCGCGCUUGAUAAGCGUGAGGUCGGAGGUUCAAGUCCUCCCAGGCCCACCACUUCCUUUCGAUACGAAGGUUAUCAGGGGCCGUAGCUCAGCUGGGAGAGCGCCUGCUUUGCAAGCAGGAUGUCGUCGGUUCGAUCCCGUCCGGCUCCACCAACCAUCUUCUGCGAAGAUGGGGCGUGUCGAGUAGAGACGGUGAGAAAAAAGUCAUUCGAAAAAGAGUUUGCGUCGAGCCCUGUGCUCUGCGCCUGUUCUGUUUGACAUCGUAAAGAGAAGAUUUGUUCGAACUUCAUGAGCCGCAAGGUCUCAUGAUUUGUCGCAAGGGACGCUCAAUCCCUUGCUUAUGAUGGGUUUGCCUAACCGCGCCCUCGAACGGAUCUCGAGAAGCUGGUCUUUUUGUGCCAAUUCCAUUGAAGCAGGUCCCGCACAGGAUCUGGUUCGAGGCGACGAUCCCUGCGGGAUCGCGCGAUGAUGGGUAUUGGCAAUGAGAACGAUCAAGUGUCUUAAGGGCAAUUGGUGGAUGCCUUGGCAUGCACAGGCGAUGAAGGACGUGAUACGCUGCGAUAAGCUACGGGAGGUGCGAAUACCCUUUGAUCCGUA